UACAGAGGUGGCAAGCGUUGUUCGGAAUUACUGGGCGUAAAGGGCGCGUAGGCGGCCUUCUAAGUCAGACGUGAAAUCCCCCGGCUUAACCUGGGAACUGCGUCUGAUACUGGAAGGCUUGAGUGCGGGAGAGGGAUGUGGAAUUCCAGGUGUAGCGGUGAAAUGCGUAGAUAUCGGGAGGAACACCUGAGGCGAAGGCGGGCUACUGGGCCGAUACUGACGCUGAUGCGCGAAAGCCAGGGGAGCGAACGGG
rnacentral:rRNA from 1 species